rnacentral:tRNA from 1 species
GUCUUUCUAGUAUUAAUCCUAGUAUAUGUGACUUCCAAUCACUCGGUCUUGGUUAAAGUCCAAGGAAGGAUA